GAGUUUGAUCCUGGCUCAGAACGAACGCUGGCGGCAUGCCUAACACAUGCAAGUCGAACGAGACCUUCGGGUCUAGUGGCGCACGGGUGCGUAACGCGUGGGAAUCUGCCCUUGGGUUCGGGAUAACAGUUGGAAACGACUGCUAAUACCGGAUGAUGUCUUCGGACCAAAGAUUUAUCACCCAGGGAUGAGCCCGCGUCGGAUUAGCUAGUUGGUGAGGUAAAGGCUCACCAAGGCGACGAUCCGUAGCUGGUCUGAGAGGAUGAUCAGCCACACUGGGACUGAGACACGGCCCAGACUCCUACGGGAGGCAGCAGUGGGGAAUAUUGGACAAUGGGCGAAAGCCUGAUCCAGCAAUGCCGCGUGAGUGAUGAAGGCCUUAGGGUUGUAAAGCUCUUUUACCCGGGAUGAUAAUGACAGUACCGGGAGAAUAAGCCCCGGCUAACUCCGUGCCAGCCGCCGCGGUAAU
rnacentral:rRNA from 1 species